GACGAACGCUGGCGGCGUGCUUAACACAUGCAAGUCGAACGGAAAGGCCCUGCUUUUGUGGGGUGCUCGAGUGGCGAACGGGUGAGUAACACGUGAGUAACCUGCCCUUGACUUUGGGAUAACUUCAGGAAACUGGGGCUAAUACCGGAUAGGAGCCCCUGCUGCAUGGUGGGGGUUGGAAAGUUUCGGCGGUUGGGGAUGGACUCGCGGCUUAUCAGCUUGUUGGUGGGGUAGUGGCUUACCAAGGCUUUGACGGGUAGCCGGCCUGAGAGGGUGACCGGCCACAUUGGGACUGAGAUACGGCCCAGACUCCUACGGGAGGCAGCAGUGGGGAAUAUUGCACAAUGGGCGGACGCCUGAUGCAGCAACGCCGCGUGCGGGAUGACGGCCUUCGGGUUGUAAACCGCUUUCGCCUGUGACGAAGCGUGAGUGACGGUAAUGGGUAAAGAAGCACCGGCUAACUACGUG
rnacentral:rRNA from 1 species